AACGUAGGUGGCAAGCGUUAUCCGGAUUUACUGGGCGUAAAGGGUGCGUAGGCGGCGCGGUAAGUCGGGUGUGAAAUCUCGGAGCUUAACUCCGAAACUGCAUUCGAUACUGCCGUGCUUGAGGACUGGAGAGGAGACUGGAAUUUACGGUGUAGCGGUGAAAUGCGUAGAUAUCGUAAGGAAGACCAGUGGCGAAAGGCGGGUCUCUGGACAGUUCCUGACGCUGAGGCACGAAGGUCAGGGGAGCAAACGGG
rnacentral:rRNA from 1 species